UGGGGAAUUUUGGACAAUGGGUGAAAGCCUGAUCCAGCAAUGCCGCGUGUGUGAAGAAGGCCUUCGGGUUGUAAAGCACUUUUGUCCGGAAAGAAAUCCUUGGCUCUAAUACAGUCGGGGGAUGACGGUACCGGAAGAAUAAGCACCGGCUAACUACGUGCCAGCAGCCGCGGUAAUACGUAGGGUGCAAGCGUUAAUCGGAAUUACUGGGCGUAAAGCGUGCGCAGGCGGUUUGCUAAGACCGAUGUGAAAUCCCCGGGCUCAACCUGGGAACUGCAUUGGUGACUGGCAGGCUAGAGUAUGGCAGAGGGGGGUAGAAUUCCACGUGUAGCAGUGAAAUGCGUAGAGAUGUGGAGGAAUACCGAUGGCGAAGGCAGCCCCCUGGGCCAAUACUGACGCUCAUGCACGAAAGCGUGGGGAGCAAACAGGAUUAGAUACCCUGGUAGUCCACGCCCUAAACGAUGUCAACUAGUUGUUGGGGAUUCAUUUCCUUAGUAACGUAGCUAACGCGUGAAGUUGACCGCCUGGGGAGUACGGUCGCAAGAUUAAAACUCAAAUGAAUUGACGGGGUCAUAGCUGUUUCCU
rnacentral:rRNA from 1 species